GUUGUAUGGUUAAGUGACUAAGCGUACACGGUGGAUGCCUUGGCAGUCAGAGGCGAUGAARGACGUAGUAACUUGCGAUAAGCCCAGAUUAGGUAGUAACAACCAUUUGAGUCUGGGAUUUCUGAAUGGGGAAA
rnacentral:rRNA from 1 species